rnacentral:rRNA from 1 species
CCUACGGGAGGCUGCAGUAGGGAAUAUUGCUCAAUGGGGGAAACCCUGAAGCAGCAACGCCGCGUGGAGGAUGAAGGUUUUCGGAUUGUAAACUCCUUUUGGUAGAGAAGAUAAUGACGGUAUCUAACGAAUAAGCACUGGCUAACUCCGUGCCAGCAGCCGCGGUAAUACGGCGGGUGCAAGCGUUACUCGGAAUCACUGGGCGUAAAGAGCGCGUAGGCGGGAUAGCAAGUCAGAUGUGAAAUCCUAUGGCUUAACCAUAGAACUGCAUUUGACACUGUUAGUCUAGAGUAUGGGAGAGGUAGGUGGAAUUCUUGGUGUAGGGGUAAAAUGCGUAGAGAUCAAGAAGAAUACUCAUUGCGAAGGCGACCUGCUGGAUCAUAACUGACGCUGAUGCGCGAAAGCGUGGGGAGCAAACAGGAUUAGAUACCCUGGUAGUC